UACAGAGGGGGCAAGCGUUAUUCGGAAUUAUUGGGCGUAAAGGGCGCGUAGGCGGCCUGGCAAGUGGAAGGUGAAAUCCCUCGGCUUAACCGAGGAACUGCCCUCCAAACUGCUUGGCUUGAGUCCGGGAGAGGUGAGUGGAAUUCCCAGUGUAGCGGUGAAAUGCGUAGAUAUCUGGAGGAACACCGGUGGCGAAGGCGGCAUCCUGGACCAACACUGACGCUGAGUGAGCGAAAGCCAGGGGAGCAAACGGG
rnacentral:rRNA from 1 species